rnacentral:lncRNA from 1 species
CCGGAAUAAAAAGUUUAUUAAAAAAGACCACUCCAUCCAGUAGGCAAUAGCAGGUGACCUGCCAAAGAGGUGGAGCCAGUUGGUGGCUGGAGGCAAUCGAGAUGCUCGGGGGAUGGUGACAGAUGCAUCUAAGACAUGACAGUGAUGAGGCAGUGUCCCAGACACCAAGGGCGACACCCCCAGGAACCUGGACCCUUUACGGUGGCUGAGAUCCUUGCAGGAUCAGUACAAUGAGAGUUAUUAUGGCUACUCUGACCCAUCAGUAACCAGGCUUGUGAGAUUGGCAGGAACCUGGGAUAACAUAAAGCUAUGAAGGCAGAGCCUCAAGAAACCUGAAGAGUGUAGCCAAGGUCAUGUUGAGAUCAGAGCUCACAGCUAACAGAUAACAACACAGCAAAGGCAUGAAGCCCAGCACGAGUGAAGGGGCAUCAGUGAUGCAGACACCAAGACGACAAUAGAAAGGGUCCAGAAGGGUCGUCCUGAAAAUUAAGUUGAUGUAAGUGUCUAUUGGAGAAUUUACCUUUCCUUUGUAUCAGCAAUCAGCAUGCUUGCUCUUUCUGACAUAGGGAUCCAAGUUCAUUCACUAAAACCAAUCUUAGACAUAGGAGAGGACUGCUCUUUCUGUCAGAUGAGUCCAACUAGAGCCUGAAAUAAAGCCAAAAUGCAAGUUGGCAAAACUAUGGUUUGGAGAGAGACAGACUGCACACACACUUGAUAGUGUUUAGUUCCUGGAUGGAGCUGUUCCUGAAGUCUACACCUGAGCUUGCAGUAUAACUUUUGUUUGUAUUUUGCUUAAGCCAGUUUGAAUGGGAUUUAUGCUACUUAGAAUAAAAGGGUCCUGAGAAUCUUUCUGCUACUGAGAAAGAUCACAGAAUAGUGAGUGCUUCUGUCCCCAGGGCACUCCUGGGAGGCAGUUUGCAAAUGCAUUGGGGAGGAGAUGAGAUUUUCUGAAGUCAGAUUGUGGUGAACAGGGCAUAUCCUCAGGAAAGCACAGAAUGCCACAGCUAGCCAGGCUGUGAAAGGCUCUCUGGAGCCUGGAAUGCCGUCAUUGUUCUGAGGUUUUGCAUCAUGUCUAAAGUCACUGUCCUGUCCUCCUAACAGGAGAAUGGAGUCCCAGAAACCUAGGAGGAGAAGACAAAGUGUCAGCCUCUCGGCAUCUGCAGUGUUGCUAGGAAAAGAGCUCUGAUCCCAGGGGCUUACCCACUUCCACAGUUCCGUGAAAAAGUUGGUUCAAAUCAUUCAGCCUGGCAUUACUGGAAAUCUCUAACAAGAUUUACAGCGGUGCCACCCCAAUGAAUUCCACCACACUGAAUUCAUUGUUCAUUGA